UACGGGGGGGGCAAGCGUUGUUCGGAAUUACUGGGCGUAAAGGGCUCGUAGGCGGCCAACUAAGUCAGACGUGAAAUCCCCAGGCUCAACCUGGGAACUGCGUCUGAUACUGGAUGGCUUGAAUCCGGGAGAGGGAUGCAGAAUUCCAGGUGUAGCGGUGAAAUGCGUAGAUAUCGUAAGGAAGACCAGUGGCGAAGGCGGGUCUCUGGACAGUUCCUGACGCUGAGGCACGAAGGCCAGGGGAGCAAACGGG
rnacentral:rRNA from 1 species